GGCACCGGCUGAAUCAGAGAUUGGCUGGUGCAUGAUAAUCACACACUCUUAUUAGGAGAGCAUUAUGUCUCUGACUGCAGAAGCAAAAGCACAAAUCGUUGCUGAUUUUGGUAAAACUGAG
rfam:Salinivibrio sp. KP-1 scf7180000001622, whole genome shotgun sequence.